AUCCAUCUGACGAGUCCCAAAUAGUACGAAAUGUGCGUUCUAGAU
rnacentral:hammerhead_ribozyme from 1 species